AGUCGUAACAAGGUUUCUGUAGGUGAACCUGCAGAAGGAUCAUUAGUGAAAGUUUCGGGCCUGCCAUACGGACGCAAACACGUCUCUGGCGCCCAUCACUAUAUCCAUACCAACCCCUGUGCACUGUGAUGACGAAUGUCAUCGAACAAAAAAAAACUCGUAUGGUUGAAUGUACGUGAAAUUGUAGGUAUAGCCUACGAACUAUACACAACUUUCGACAACGGAUCUCUUGGUUCUCCCAUCGAUGAAGAACGCAGCGAAACGCGAUAGGUAAUGUGAAUUGCAGAAUUCCGUGAAUCAUCGAAUCUUUGAACGCACCUUGCGCUCCAUGGUAUUCCGUGGAGCAUGCCUGUUUGAGUGCCGCGAAUUCUCCCUCCCCUUACGGUGGCCGAAAGGCCGAAGUAGGGCGGACGGGGUAGGAUGGGUGUUUGCUGCCUGGGGAUUGUACCAGGCUCGCCCGAAAUGCAUAAGCGCCAGGACCCUCGCUACCGCUCUCUAGGGAAGAGUGGCUAAGCGACCGCUGAGCAUGGCAUGAUACGUCAUUUGCUGUGUGUGGGCGGCCGGUUGGAGAGGUGUCUGCUUUACCAGCCCUAUUUUAAUUCUGGUCUCAAAUCAGGUAGGAUCACCCGCUGAACUUAAGCA
rnacentral:misc_RNA from 1 species